UUCCGGUCUAUCUGCCCGGUGAAAAUUUAACGGCCGCAGUACCCUGACUGUGCUAAGGUAGCAUAAUAAUUAGCCUCUUAAUUGGAAGCUAGAAUGAAAGAAUCGACGAGAGAUUAACUGUCUCGACAAAUCUAUUAACUUAUUUAGUGAGUAAAAAAACUCCCACCCCCUAGCAGGACGACAAGACCCUAUAAAACUUCACCUUUAACCUUGCGCUAAUAGACACUCUCCCAGGGAAAAAGGUUUUACUGGGGCGGUAAUCUUUAAUUUAAACAAUAACCACUUCAACAUUAUCAAUGAGGCCGACGAACUCUCUUUAGAAAUCAAGAACAAGUUACUUUAGGGAUAACAGCGCAAUGCUUCUUUAGAGCCCUUAUCGACAGAAGCGCUUACGACCUCGAUGUUGAAUUGAAGCUCCCUCGCGAAGCAG
rnacentral:rRNA from 1 species